CACGGAAGUAGCUGGCAACGCAAGUAAUCCGGGCGCUGCAGCUUUAAGUAGCUGCGCGCGCUCCCGCGGACGGCAAUCACUUUUUGGCACAACACCUGUUAUGGGAGUCGGCUGGCGUGCAUAUUGAUUGACUGGAUGAGAUCUUCCAUUGUUCCAUCGUCACUGUGUAUGUGACGGAGUGGCAUUGCUUGCCUACAGCACAGUGCUGUGCAUAAAAGCAGACCGACCCAGGCCGGAGAAUCAUUUCUUGUUCGCAUUUCUGAGAACGCACAUCAGGAUGGCCUCCGUAUCACUGCCACGCAGGAAGAACCUCUCCACGCAACAGGCUUUGGCCUUACUUCGGGAAAUGGACGAAGCAGAUUCUGAUGGAGGAGAGGUUUCAUUUGUCCAGCAGGCCACUGAUACCUCUUCAGAAGAAUCUGAAAAUGAGACGGAACAAGAACCCAACAUGCCUCCACGGAAGAGGCCCCGUGGUACUGGGAAGCCCAGCCAGAACCACACGGCAAAAGACGGCACUGUGUGGGUUGAGGAGGACAUUGGAAUGCCCAGUGCAGAAGCAAAUCGUUU
ensembl:lncRNA